UACGUAGGUGGCAAGCGUUAUCCGGAUUUACUGGGUGUAAAGGGCGUGUAGGCGGGAGUGCAAGUCAGAUGUGAAAACCACGGGCUCAACCUGUGGCCUGCAUUUGAAACUGUACUUCUUGAGUACUGGAGAGGCAGACGGAAUUCCUAGUGUAGCGGUGAAAUGCGUAGAUAUCUGGAGGAACACCGGUGGCGAAGGCGGCCACCUGGACGACAACUGACGCUGAGGUGCGAAAGCGUGGGUAGCAAACAGG
rnacentral:rRNA from 1 species